AUAGUCUGAUUAUAGGCCACUGUGCUCUAGCAGAACUGCAUUUCCCUUUUACAGUUUACACUCCAGUGCUCCUUCCAUAUGUGCUUCAGUGCAUCAUGACAUGGGUGAGUUGGAAUGGCUGCUUUCUCCUACUCCUGAUAACACCCAUCUCUUUCUUAGGGAGGAAAGCUCAUGCUCCAGAGGACUCAGGUGUGCUAGGUUAGCUCUUCUUUGGAAGAGACAUUCUAUUAAAUACAUAUGAUAUAAAAAGCUACUGAGUUUGUAUUUCAGAUAACAGCUAUUUGGUGACUAAACAUCAUGACUGUCUAGGUGAUGAUGGUUAAUAUGUCUUUUCUCCUUUUUAGUUGGUGUAUAGGAAAUCUGUUACGAAACUCAGAGAAAGAUCUUGUGGAAGGGAAUGGUGAUUGUAUUAUUCAAAGUCACUAAGCAAAUUGAUUUUAGACAGUCAUACUCUCAUGACAAAUCUGUUCAAAUGAUCUGACUGGGAUUGCUUGCAUUUAACAUGAAGGAUAAGUCAAAUCCUCACUUCAUCUCUUGGAUUCUUCUUGAUUGCCCAAAAAUGAAUUAUUUUUUUAAAAUCCCUUAGAAUAUCUUUGACAGUAAUUCACUGUUGUCUUUCUGUAAGCUUUUCUGCAACCCGUUAGUCUGAGGGGCUAAAAGCAGAAGGAAUGGCAUGUGUGAUUUGCUAUAACCUCUGCUAUUGUCCUUGUGUCACAAUGCAGUGUUUCCUGUGAACAAGAUGCUUGUGCUGUGGUCUUAUCAGAGAAGGGUCUUCUGUUGGGCUCAGUAGGAACAGCACAUUCCUCAACUUGAUGAAAUGGGAUCCCUCAUUAUCAAUGUAGGCUUCUUUUUUGAUUAUUGUUUUGGUGCUUUCACAUACCUAUUUCCAGCCAUAUAUAAUGUAUACCAAUUUAAAUAAUUUAGUCAAAAAUUAUGCCAUUUCAUUUAGAAUUUUUUUUCUUUCUUUCCAUUUUUUGUAUUGCAGCAGAUUCAGUAGCAAUAACUAGUGAAAUAUGGGCAGAUCUGUGGGGUUUAUGCUACACAGAUGCAGGGUAGGACUCAUUAAAUUCUGUCUGUACUAGCAGGAUAGAAGCAACAGCACAGCCAGAUGGUGACUACUGGUAAUAUAAAAGCAAUGCAUUUUUGCCCCAGAGUAAAAGAUCUUAUAGAGAAAGCAAUAGCUUCUUAGGCUGUCAUUGCUUGGCCAGUUGAUGAAUAUUACUCAAGGCUAAUUGAAUAGCAGACCUUCAUCAGAGUUGGAAAGCUUUAAAAAAAAAAAAAAGUCUUCCUACUGCAGUGAACUGAAGCUAUUAGCCCCUAAUUAACACAUGGGGUUUCAUCUUUACCUUUCUAGAGAUCACAGAAAUCUAUGUAUUUUUCAGGCUGCAAGCCAGAAAUCAAACAUUCAUUACAUAAUUGCAGUAAGUCUGAGCUAAUACUUCUCAUUAAGUAUGAUUUAUGAAUUCCAAAAGAGCCUAAGAGAUAAAUACAUAAAAAUUAUUCUGAAGUCUGCAAAAAUGAAAGCAUUCAUUUCUCUGGAUGAUUGUGCAGCAAGAAUGAUUUAGGCAAACAUGAACAUUUGGUAAGGACAUGGCAUUUAAAUAUCUGUACUUUUGUGAUGCUCUCAAAGUGGUGUGAUUUCAUCUAAUUUUGCUGCUGAUCUUUCAGCAAAGAUGAUGUUCUGCCCAGAGAAUCAACCAGUGCAGGCAGAAUCAGUCUCCCACGGAUCAACAUUCCCUUGGAGCUGCAGGAGAUGGGCAUCUGCCAUGAUGCAGUUUGUGAGCCUGUGGAUAAACCUAUUUUGGUUUUACAAUUACAGGUUAAUUUUAAGCCCACCAGUAACAGAUUUUCCAAAGUCAUAAACUGAAGACUUGCUCCCUACAGAGCAGUGAAGACAAGAUGCAACAGCUGAAUGUGGUAGUUGGGCUUGGGACAGAUGGCGUGCAAGAGCAAAUGCUCCAGACAGGUCUCCUCCCCAUCUCCCACGUGGAAGAGGAGCUGCAGUCCUCAUGGGCUCCCUGCAUGGUUCGUGAAUUUCCCAGAUGAUUCUCCAGAGUGGUGAGGAUGCUGAAACUGGGGAAGUUGUGUUGAGGAUUAACCCUUUUUUACCAGGAUCUGUUUCUAAAUUGUAAUGUGUAAAAUAACAAGCAUGUGUUUUAGAAUUGCUGCUGUGAUACAGUCGUGUGCUAGAUUUUGGUUAUUGCGUUCCCUGAGGAGAGAAAGAGAACGUCAGCUAAAAUGUUGAAUGCUCUGUUAGUGAUUGCUAGCAUGCUUCAAAAGCUGAAGCUCAUGGAAGGAGUGGGUUUUCAGCAACAGGGCCACACUAUGCAAGACUGCCCUGCUCUGAUGGUUACACUAGCUGUUACAAAUCCCGCUCUAAUGAGGGUAACAUGCCUACGGAAUAUAAAUAGAAUAAACCUGCUGUGCUCACAUAUUAGAAGCCUGUAACUCAGUGGCUCUGCCUUAUACGUGAGUUAUGUAAAUGCCAUUUUGGAAAUCGUCGCCUCACUUCUGUCUGCUCCGUGACAGGAAGCAAACUCCAUGGGUGUGUUGGAGUCCUGCAGGCUUCCUGCUCCCAUCUGGCUUCAUGGACUGGGCUCUUGCUAUAAGAUUUUGCAUCUCUCUUUGUACCUCCUGCUUUGUCUUUAUUGCGAGGGAGCAAUGUGAAAUAUGAUAAAUAUUUGCUCUCUACAAAUGAGGGCAAGUAAUAAGCAGAUAUAGAAGCUCUAUGAUUUGGUGGGAGUAUUUGUAACAAAGCUGGGGCUAUGAAACUGGCAUUUCUAGUGUCUGCUUUGAACCAAUUUUAUUCCACUGUGGAACAAAGAAUUCAUUUUUUUCUGUUGAAAAGAUGGCAAUAUUAGGAAAAUCCAUGCUGUACAUUUACUGAUAGCGUUGUUCUAUCAUAGCAUUAACUGCUGUAUUAUAGCAGCAGAGGUACUUCUGAAGUUUUGAAACAGCAAAGUGUGACAGCCUCUAUCUGUCACCCUUCACUAAUCAACACUGUAGCUCUUUACCAUCUGGGUUUUGGAGAAUCUCUCAUCAUUAAGGCUCCAUCCUUGCAAACAGAUGGCCACAUUGUGUGAUGUCCCUGCUGAAGUGCCUGCUGGGAUCUAUACAGACCCGUUGGGACAGAUGCGUGGGUUUGCUCAGCCUGCUGGCAUGCACGUCUUGCACUUACAUAGAAGGUGGUUCUAAGAGAAAGAACAAACAUGGAGACUGCAUGAUACCUGUAGGCCAAGCCCUCCCCUGGCCACAUCACCAGUGCCACUGACACUGGCUGGGGUUGGGGAUGAACGAGCAAAGACCUGCAGGCUGAGAAAGCCAUCAUCUGUGAAGUCUAGCUGGGCUGCUUGGUUUCUAGAGGCUGGUCAGUAAACAAGAUUGUUUGAGCACAUUUUGAAGUGCUAGAAACUGGUUUAUCUGAAACCUGCUGCUGAGUAAACAUUCUUCAAGACAGAAACUCUGAUGAAAACAAAAUAGUGACUUGGGUGCAGCGAGCUGGGCACUGGUUGUUCUGGUGUGUGUUUCUGUGUUGCCAGCUUGCACUGCAGUAUCCAAGCCAUUCAGGUGGUCUGGACAGUCGCUGGGUGCUGCUGUCAGUGGUGCUCAGGCAGCUGGGGCAGCGUGUCACAUAUGGCCUGUUACUGCUGGGCCUGGCAGUAAGCAGGCUCUGGCAGCUCGCACUCAACCCAGCUGAUCUCAGCCAGGCUGCCGCGCUCCGUGUGCCUGAAGGCAGGCUGUGGGGAUGUGCCAUGAAGAUGGUCCCUCUGUGGGCUUUCAUGGGAGAAGGAACAGAUCUGCUGAAAGGCCGUGGUGCCACUCUUAUUUUCCAUCUGGUAUCUCUGGAGGAGCCUUCAUGUAUGAAACAACUAAGGCAUCUGCUUUUACCUUAUAUGCUGCAUCUAUGAUAAAAGCCACGUGUGACCUUUUCUUCUUCUGUUAGAGGAAGAGGCCCAUCUGGCCUUGAGUUAAUGCUUUUCCUUUCUCAAAUCCUGUUUUUCUAAGUGUCUCACCAAAACACUCAGAUUGUCUUUAGGACAAAUAUCUAGAGACCAAGUCUGCUCUGAUGAAAUAGGUACAAAAGCUUCCCUCAAUGCCCAGCGUCCACACACAGCUGGCACCAGCAGCACUGUGCCCAUUGCCCAGCCCAGCCCUGGGCUGCACAGAAGUGUUGUGAGAGCUCUGGCUGAUGGAACAGCGACAGGGAGAUUGUGUAACAUGCCCUGGGCUGUGAGAGUCGGAGAGGUUAACAGAGAACCUGCUUAUGGUUUAUUGUCACUGCCAGGUCUUGCUGGAAAGGAAGCCCAGCACCGCCUUCAAAGGGAGCUGCUCAGUGCUACGGCAUGUUUGGUAACCAUUUCCCUGCAUGCCUCUCCUUCAGCUGCUGCCUCAAGAACGCAGCACUGAGUGCUGCUCUGAGGUUUUAUGAGCAAGUGCAGAGGCAGUAAAGGCUCUUUCUCAUACAGUGUGCUGCACCAUGAUUUGUGUGUGUGGUGUAUGGUGUAGAGCAGCCCUGGCUGUUUGCUGCACCCCUGGUGAAGAACGUUUCUGGGAGAGCCCCUCCAGUGUUUCUAUCUGGGGUGGCUGGGCAAGAGUUUCUUGGAGUUACUUUCUGAUACUGUGUCUACAGUGGAAAUAACAGUAAGCAUAGAGUGGCUUGGAGAGGCUUGGAGCAGAAACAGCCAGAAGUAGGAGCCUCUGUUUUUAGUUUGAGACGUGUCUCUUUAAAGCUCUGCUGUGGUUGGGUCCAUCUGUGCUUGUCAUUCCUUUGUUAACCAAAAAUCCCAAGCUGAGGAAAAACUGCUUUGCAGUUGUAGUGAGAUGGAAGAGGCCCUGAUGGAAGAGGGCUGUGGCAGAGCCAGAACUUCUGCCUGGGAUAAAAACUAUUUGAGUAACUUGGAACUGUGGAGCUGGCUCGCUUCACUGUGCUGCCUUCAGAUGGCUGGACGUUGUGCUGAGUCAGCAGUGUGCUCCAGAGCUUGUGGUGUUCCUUGGCUGUGCCUCAGGCAGGAACACGCCUCUCCACCGAAACCCUUCCAUCCUUUCUUUUCAGUUUACUCACAGAUCACAUUUCCCUGCUUUUAUUCUGCUUUUGUGACUGGCUGCUGUGGCAGUGUCUCUUCUUCCUUCCCAUGGAUUGUGAAGGGCUAAUGUGGAUUUCAUCACAGCAAUGCCUUUAUCUCCGUUUGCCUGUCACUGAUGGAGAAACCCCAGCAGCUUCAGUAGGUCUGGUAACAUUCCAGUUUUGUUUCUCUUGUUCUCUUGCAGCUUUGGGGACUGUCUUCUGACUCAUGUGCCCAGCUGCAAAGCAGAGAUUUUGCCGAGUGCCAAAAAUCUCUUGCGUUUCUCUUACAGUGACUGGGUUCCAGAUUCUGCUCAAAGGAACAGAAAGACCCAAUUUCAGCCAGUUGGAUUUCCUGAACCAGCCACCCCUGCUGGAAUGGUCACACAGUGCUGCUGUGUUUGGGUCUCAACAUCUUCAGGCAGGAACCUGUGCAAGGAAACCUUUCUGGCAACUAAUCCCCACACAUUGUGUUUGGGAGUCCUUUAGGGAGUGGCUGUGACUCCACAAACUCUCCUGCCUGCAUGUUUUUUCCAAGUGAGCAUUCAGACUGCUGCUCUUUCUGCUGUUUUUUUCAGAUUUUAAUGAGUCCUUGGCAGCAGAAGUACUGAGCAAAAAAAAAAAAAAAAAAAAAAGGAAGUGCCCCAUUAAUGCACUGCAGAUAGAAUCAGGCUGGGCUGGAAAACUCCAAGAUUGACUGUAAUAGCACUGACCAUAAUGUAAAACCCGUAUGCUGAGGAGGCCAGAUACCUCUCUGUAUCUAAGGUCUUUCAGAAGCGUGAUCUCCAACCUGUGGCAGCCCCAGACUUUCCAGGUCUCCCUGCCCAUCAGCACCAGCACAGUCAGCAUUUGCAGGAGCAGCUGCUGAGAAAUGCCCUCAAGCUCUGUCUGCAUGGCUGCAGCACUGAGAGCAGCACUGACUGUCUUGCAAGAAUGGAAAACUGAGAAAGAAUAUGAAGGUACAGGAAGUCAGUGUGUCCGUCUGAAGUUUAUGGAAGUGCAAGUGCCAGUGUGCACCUCGGGCCUAAAGCAGCAAUCAGACUGAUACUUGAAGUAGUGGUGCGUGUCUUGCCAGUUGUCCUUAGUCUCACGGGUGUCACAGCUUUUCUGUGCUUGACUGUUUUUCCAUGCGGAAGAAGUGGUGAGGCAUUGGAGCAGGGUGCCUGGGCAGGUGGUGGAGUCAUUGUUCCCAGAGGUGUUUAAGGAGAGGGUACAGGUGGUACUCAGGGACACAGGGAGUGGGCAAUUCUGGUGGCAGGUGGACUGUUGGACUAGAUGAUCUUAGAUGUCUUUUCCCACCUAAAUGACUCUGUAAUGAUUAGAGGUGUGACUGUCCUCCAUUAGUGGAUAAAAACAGUUCACAGAUCUCUUGGGAAUUGAUAAUAAUAAGACCCUUGGAUAUAGAAGAAAAACUGAUCUCUAAGAGGACUGAGGAAUAGGUUUAAAACUGGAAUAUAUUUCUGAAGCCAAUUACUGGGAAGAAACUGAGAGAUUUGCCUAUGGAGUACAGAAUUGGAACUUAAGUUAUGCACACUGAUUCAACAACUGUGCUAUUUUUGGCUUGUGAACUGUUCUGAUGGCUGUUUAUUUUUAAGGUCAUUUUCUGUUUGCACAGCAUAUACACCCUUCUGGUGGGUGGGAGGCAUUAUAAAAACAAUCACUGCUGCUCAGAAUUAUGAACUAAACUCGAAGAGGGAUGGAAAAAAAACAGAACUUGGUGUACUUACUACUUUAAAAAACAUCUGUUUAGGUCAGAAGGCUUUGUUGACCCAUUCCAAGCUGUGGCCCCACCGGAAAAAUCCCAUCCCAAUUAACAUAGAUUACCACAGGGGAUUGCAAAAGACUUGGGAAAACUCGGACAGAGUAUAAACAGAAAGGAAGCAUCAGGUUUGGCAGUUUCUUCCCAAAUACUCACCUUCUGGUAGCAAAUACAAGACUAAAAUGUUCAUCUCAUGGCUGAAGAGUUGCUAAGAGCUGGAUUUCAUGCUGGCUGGCCAUGCCUGAAUCCCAGCAUCUGUCUUUUUUAAGGCUCAUGUAAAAUAACAACACACUUCACUGACAUUUUCUGGCUUCUUCCUGGUGGCUGUAUCUUUAUUCCCACACAGUCAAGUAAUACAAAUUGAUUGGACAGUGGCAGUUUACAAAAUAAAGUAAGAAUGAUUACUCUGAGCUUAAAUUUUAAAAAAAUCUAAAUCUGGACACGUGGAAUUCAGUGCCAUAUUUAGACCAGAAACUGGUAAGGAAAUGGUUCAUAACAUUGAUGGUGUAUUCUCAGCCAUGUUCCUUUCCCAGAAAAUAAAAUACACCAUACAAAAAUAUACUAAAAUUAUUAACUGAGUUGGUGGAAAUUGUCUGCUGCAAUAUAAUUGCUGUUGUCUGAUUUUCAGCAUAUUUACUCCAGCACUACAUUAUGACAGAAGUAAACUGUGUUUAUUCAAAUAUUUGAAUUUAUUUUGAACUUUCAAGUUCAUCUCAAAUUAAUUUUCUUGUGCUCCAACCCUGAAGAUGCAUGAAGGACAUUAAGUUUGGACUUGUGCAACUGAUACAAGUGAGGGAGCACAGGAGUGUUCAGUUCCUUGAGGUCUUUUUCAGGAAGGGAGUGGGAAUCAAAAUGCUGAACCUCUUUGAUUUUAAAAAUUCUAGAAAAAUGCCCCAGAUUAAGACUUGCUAAAAGUCUUCCCUGGGCAACUCUUUUUCCUGAUAGGCUUGAGGUCAUCAGCUCUCUAGCAAUCUGGUGAAACUGCCUGGUUUCGAGAUCUGGGGCUCUGCUCUUGAGUCAGCUGCAGUAAACCUUUUCCUUCUCUCCUUUGUAUAAACAUACCUGUCCCUCUUCCCAUCCCUCCCUUCCUUGUCUGAUAUCACACAUAUCUGAUAUCACGAUUUCUUUCUAUGAGAGCCCCAGCCCUUUGAUAAGCCUCAUAUGCAUUCACAGUGCCAUUUCCUUAGUGUUUCCGAAGUUCAGAAUUCCUGGUGUAGAAGUCAAAGUCCAUACCUAUCUCACCACCCACUGAGGAGAGGCAGGUUUGCACAGCUGCAAUGACAGUCUCUAAAGUUGAUGUAAGACCUGUGAGAAGAGCCUGCCCUAGAAGUUCUCUGUUCUUUGCAGAGAAUGCCUCAUGGGAAGCAAAAGCACCAGUUUUCUGCAGAGCCCCAGAAGGGUCUGAAGGUCCCGUCACCUCCGAAGGAGGAAUUCAACAUGAGCAGGCAAGCGUAUUUCAGCCAAGGAUUGCUAGCUCCUUUUUUCUCCCAAGAGUAUUAUUGCUCCACUUUUGCAGACAGGAAGAUUAAGGCACAGAAAGGUGAACUCACUUGGAUCAAGACUGAUCUCUAGUCCAGCCUCUUCUCUAAGCUGUCAUUCUGUGCUUGUGUAUAGGAGACGUUCUCAGAAUGACCUGGGGUAGUCCAUGACCUUUGUUCCCCUCGCAGACAGCACAAACAGGGGCCAAUAUCCACCUUCCCAGGCACGGCCUCCACAGAACACACCAAGAAGGACAUGCAUUGGAGGCCAGAAGUUGGCUUCCCAAUAUUGAAACACCGCUGGUUCUCAAGGAGGUCAGCUAUGGAAAGAUGACCAAGAUACCUCUGAGGUAUAAAACUCUGUGUCUGCUGGCCACUGGUCAACUUUGUAAUCAUCAGACUUGUCACUGUCAUCACCGCUGGAGGGUUCGUAGCCUGGGAUGGCAGAACGGUACCGCCCCGGCUGCCCACAGUCAGCCUCCUCUUCCUUCUUCUGUUCUGCCAGCAGCUGCCUGUAGCACAGGUUGCAGACCCUCAGGGGCUUGGGGGACAGCCGGGGCAUCAAAAACCUCUGCCUGGAGCAGUCUCCACACACCACAAAGCCACACUUGCGGCAGUGGUGCCUUCGAGUGAGCGUGGAGAACUUGGUCUGUGUGCAGCGCAUGCAGAUGUCUGUCGCCUUGUCGGGGAUCCAGGGGGCCGCGUGCUCUGUGGAGGGCUGCCUGCCCGUCUUUGUCAGCAGGUGCCUGAUGCACUCCUCCAGAUGGCUGAUCCACUCCUUCCGCUCCGUCAGGGAGGCCGCAGAAACCACAAAGGACUUUUUUGAGGUUUUGAUCAUCCAGCGGUUCUUCAUCUGCAAGGUGUCGGGCAGCGUCUCCAGAGUGACAUCUUCAAGGGGAAUGAUGUGCUGGGAAUUGUACUUCCUUUUGUUAAUCACUAUGCUCCCAUACACGAGGAUGUCAUUGAACAGGAAGAAUAUGCGAGGCUUUGGUUUCUUGCGGCAUUCUUUGGUUAAAAUCCCUUCUCCCAAAAGGACUCUCCCUGGCACAGCUAAGGGUUGUCCAGAAGCCCCAAAGCAGUUUUCCACAGCAGCAAUGCGCUGGCUGUUGAUCUCGGUGUUUGCGAGGUGGUCCACCAUCUCCAGCUCACCCUGAAGAGAGGAAAAUAAAGAAGUGGUGAAGCUGCACUUGGCAGACCACCAGGACGAGGCUGAGCAGCGAGCCUGCGUGCACGUGAUAAGCUUCUAAUGUCAGUGGAGGUUAAAAUAAUCUCUUUUCCACUCUUCACAUCAGUUUAUGACCUUUUAGAAUUAUUUUUUCAAAGUUUCUGACUGCACUUUGCAACAAUCUGGCCUGCAUUGGGGUGGUUCCAUUCUCAGCAAUGGAAGCUCUCUAAUACAGAGCCCUCUUUUCCGUUACAACCGUGCUUUUUACCAGUAUAUCUGCAUUCCCAUAUGAAAGAAAGCAGACUGGCCUGAAAUACUUCAUACACGGGGAGUUUCUGCACUGUGACAGCUGGCGGGGUCCAGGGCCAGGCCCUUCUGUCCCUGCCAGCAGUGAGCACAGCUGCACAGGCGCUGUGCUAGUGCUGUGAGCUGGCUGAUGAUGGGCUGGAUGCAGUGCAGGGAGAACAUUUGUGGUCUCUGGAGCCAGUCUCCCAUUUCUGCCUGCGCGCUUGUUUUCUUGAAGAUUACCUGCAGAUACACACCGCCCAGAAUGCUGUUUUGGGUCAGAGCUGAGGCAGACUUUUGGAACCAAACAGAGUGCUCUACUGUUUGUUCCCACUGAUCCUCCCUGCAUGACAAAAUGAAGAAAAAAGGAAGGAAAAAAAAAGAAAAGCAAAAAGGCAGCAGCUACAUGAAUAAAAAAAACACACAGCCAGCUCCUUCCUCCAUUGCCCCAGCUGUGCUUCGGCUGCCUGUGCUUCCAGUUAUAAGACACAUCACUCUGAAAAUAGCCUGAUGUCUGCUGAAAGGGAAGUAGAUCGCAGCAUGCUUAUCUUUCCCUGCACCUCUGCACCCUUGUUCUCACACAGCCCAUGUGCUUGUGGUUUUUUAAAAUGUACAUAAAGGUAGCUCUGAAGCAAACGCUGAUGUUGUGCUACUAAUAGUUUGCAGUAAGAAAAGUGCUUUAUGUUGUACAUUAAAUUUUUCAGUGCACCUAAUUCCUUCUGAGUUUAAUGGUACACCAAGACUAUUCAGGCCUAACAAUCCACGAGAAAGUGAGUCAUUUCCUCUUACAGAGAGGUAGUUCAGCAAUCACGAGGUAGCCCACAGAUCACAGGGAUCUGUGCAGUCCUAGUUUCUGUGAGCAUUUCAGGCCAUAACCCAUAUAGAACCUCUCGCCACAUUUUUCCCAUCUUUGAGUCCUUAUAGCCAGUGUUGGAAUGUGGGGGAAAGGGAAGGCAAAGACAACAACACGCUGAGUUCUGAGCAUUUGAGAUGACGAUUUACAUUCUUGUCUUGCCCUUCGCUCCAAAUACCUUUCAGAAUGCUACAAGGGAAACCGCAGAAUAGCUGUUCGAGGUCGCUGUGCACUGUUUAUGUAUUGCCUAAGCUAUUUAACAGACUGCUCAAUUCUCUCUAGUCCCCAGAUUUUUUUCUUUAGAGCAGGCCAGCAGUCCCCGUACAAAGUAAUGGUGCUGGUUCAGCCCUGUGAGGGAACCUGAAGGAAAUGACUCUGCAUUAAUAUGUUUUUGUAAGUAGUGCUGUGUGACCAGUGCUUCUCAAAAGCUGCAGCUAUUGGGAUUUCUUUUCGAUGCACAAAGGCAGCACCUUCUGCAGCAUGGGGCUUGUCUUCAGGAUACCAGCAUGGCUUCCACCAGCCCUGCUUGCUGCCUGACAACCUUCCCAAGAUUUGUCUUGCAGGAGCUGCUGGGAUCUUGGAAACGCACACAGCCAGGCAAACCCAAGCUGACAUGUCACCAAAAGAGGACAACCCAGGGUGAAUCUUCUUCAAUUAAAGGCAGGAUGCCAAGGCCUCCCAAUUCUUCCUGCAAGUAUGUAAAUCUUCAGGGUCCUGAAGUCCAGAUGUGAUGGAGCUGGACAAUGUGAAACAUACCCACUCGUGUGUGUCCUCCAGUGUGAUGUGCAAUUUAAAGCUAACCAUAAGUUAAAUAGUUACAAAAAAAGCAUCUGAGAGAUGGAAGUAGUAUAAGAAAAUACCUUCAGAGGAAGUCAAAGUGAGCAGCUAUGUAGUAAAAAAGUGUGAAAUGUGAAGGAAACAAAAAGGGGCUCCCAUUAAAUGUCAUGCUUCCACACAGAGAGUACCUUCUUCCCUCUGGAUUGCUACACACGUAAAAAGCCAUGAGUUAACUAAGAAAAGCUAACUCCUUCUUGGGAAAAUCUCCCUGCUACAACUAGAAGUGUCAUCUGUUGCUCUAGGCCUGGAUAUUUCCCUAAGGAGUUCUCACAGGGAAGCAAAAUAAAAGCUUUUUUCUUCCAUUUCUAUCCCCUCAGGCGUAAUAACGUUCCAGUAAAUAACUGGAGCACAGAAGUAAAAAAAAAAAAAAAAAAAAAGUGGGACUCACAUUGCUUAACUUCAGGCUUGGACAACAGCUUCAGUACAACUCUGCACUCCCUGUUCAGCUGUGGGGAGGCAGCCAGCUGUAAGGGGUGGCUCACCCUGUCCCACCAUGAGGGAGAGCAGCCCUGCCCCGAAUUUCUACACAGCCCAUGGCUUGACUAAACGACAGACAGAUUCCAUGUUAAUAGCAUGACUCACUGCAGAUAGUGCUCAGCGCUGCUUUGGAAUGGAACUGCUAUGUAUGGCAGUUUAAGAAUAAUAUGGUUUCCUUACUAUGAAGCAUCCCUGCCUUUAGGAACAACAGUGAUGUGGUAUAAAAAGCAGAGCAUAAAUUGUAUUCUAGUCAUUCUAGUAGAUAUUUUUUUCCCUUUUUCAUCAGGUUUGCUCUGUGACUUCAGAUUGUGCUGCCUGUUACCGAGUGAUGCAAAUGCACAUAUGCCUCACAUGGUAGAAGAGUGGGAAGAUGUACUUUACUGGCAUCCUACUUUACAUGAGAGUUUUCAGCAUGGCAAAGUUUCCAUUCUUUUUUGUGUCAUGAUCUGUUGACUCUGCAUGUGAUCAAACAUAUCCAGUUUGUACAGUUGGUAUUCAAAGGAAAAAUACUAUUUUGUCUGCACCCAACUUCACUUUUCAACAAUGAGUGCUUAUUAACUUAUGAAUAUAAAUAGCCAUGCUGAUGCUUGCCUGGCAGUACUCCCGGGUCACUCAGCCUGGGCUAUGCUU